GCCGCCCUUGGUGCCGUGUUUGAAAAUCAACGAGUGCGUGCCUGUUCCCCAUCUCGGUGUUAAAAGCCCGUAGAACCUCUUUAACCUCUUGAACAACAAGAGGUACUUAUUCAAAACCACCAACUUGAUGGAAAGGACCUGUGUCGCUUUAGCACCCUUUGUGCAAAGCCUGCGGGGUUCGGACUCGCCUGUCUCGCUGGGUGUUUGAGUUCUGCCAGUCACUGUGUGGUCUGGGUGUACAGAAAGGGGAUCUUGCAGCACCCACCCCCACAUGGUCAGGGAAAGGGUUAAGUUCAGUAGCUUGGGAAAUGAGGGUCAGCCUCUCUGCAUCAAGGUCAGGUUUUCAAGGACCCUCCUGUGGAAAUAACAAAUACAAUUUGUCCACAUCUCUGCUUUUCACUGAUACUCCCUGAAGGGCUCUGCUGAAAGGCAGCUCUCCGAUAUUUAGGCUCUUUCCCCUUUUAACAUCUAUAUUGGUUUGAAAGUUCUCCCCCUGUUCCUCUUUCCACUUCUCCCGCAGUCCCAUCACUGUGCACUUUACAGCCCGGUCAAGCACAGUCCCUGCAGCAUCCUGAGGGCCAGGGCUGCAGCAGUGGCUGGGUCUCCCCCAAGCUGGGGUCAGGGAAUCACUAAGGAUCCCUCAGCUGCUCCUGCACUGAACCCUUCAUCCACCCCUCUUGCUUUGCUCUGGGGGGACACACACAUUUAUUGGCUGUCUCCAGCAGAGCUGAUGGCAAAAGCCUUUUCCUACCACCCCCUGGCUCUCCCCCGGCUUCUGAUGAAGUCAUCAAGCUACCAAUUGCAUAACUGAUGCUCAGGACUAUCCUGUGUUAUACUGGGAUAAUGGCCAACUGCUUCCAUUUAUAGACAAAAGCAAGGCCGUGCUGCCAAAUAAUGGAGUCUUUGCUGCAGCCACUACAAAGUGAAGAAAAAGGAGGGGAAAACCCCCAGGAGCCGAAGGACAUGAUGUGACAUCCCUUGAGCUUCCUCUGCGAGCUUCAGUGCACAGCUGCCUUUGGGGCUGCAGCCCAAGUCCUCAUUGAAUUGCCUUAAAAAAAAAAAAUCUUCCUACAGAACUCUUGUCCUGGCUCCUAAUGCACAGAUGGGUAUAGCUGAGGGACAUGCUCACCCCACGCAGAAAGCACUCCAUUCUCUGAUGAAUUAUGUUAUAAAGUAAUUCUGGCAUUUAAAAGGAAGAAAGUUUUGAAAGGAGACCCACCAGCUGAUGUGAGCCCGAUGAACUGUGCAGCAGCUGAAGGAAAUAUGAAGAUUAGCACACAGGUGUCACUUCCAGUGUUGUGUGUUUAGCCAUUUCGAGGUACAUCAUGAAAACUUCCUGUUGCUGUUAAAGCCAGGCCUUCUUCAUCUAGACCACCCUCCUGCCUAGAACAUUUCUUCUCCUUUGCUUUUUUUUUCUUGGCAAAAUCUCUUCCCAGCUGAUGAUGAAAGGCCCUUCUGAGAUCACUGGGAGCAGCCCUGGGUUGUGUGUCCUGAAAAUAAGAGCACAGCCCAGGCAAAAAGUGUCUGCAGGAAAAUGCUCCCUAGCACCUGGGAGCAGAGCUCUUUCCCCAGAGCUUUAGCUCUGCAGCCUGGCACUGCUGUCCUCCAAGGGCAGUGUGUGGAGAUGACACCUGGCAAUGUGGCAGGGAGCUGGGGAUGGAGGAAGCAACACUGGACUCUAUAGGGCUGCCUCUUACAAGCCAUGGCAGCUCCAGACCCAGAUGCAGUCUCAUCACAGGAGCUGAACACCAAGUCAAGCAACUCGAGCUACGUCCAGCACUUUCACACUUACAGAGCUUAAAAACCAAACUGAUGCAAGCUUCACUGACAACCCUCUUUGCUCCUGCUCUGCCUGACUGUUCCCUCAUCCUCCUACUGCACCCUGAGCCUUCCUGCUCCUCCUCCUCAUUCCCUGCUAGCCCUUUCUCCUUCCUACACUCUCUGCCCAGCCUCUGCAUUUUCCUUUCUCCACCAACUGGCACUGCUGCUUCUUGCUUCACUCUCCAGACGCCCUCAUCAGCUCCCAGCCUGCAGCUGCAUCCCACCCAUGCACACAGCUUGGCUUACCAUGUAACCCCCAGGGAUCUGCAGCAGCAAGGGGACUGCCCAGCUCUUUCCCCCAGGGCCCUGGGGGUGCUCUGUGGGCAGAUAGUCCCUGAAGAGAGUGAAAAGAUGCCCUGGAAGGGGAAACACAGAUUGUGUUCUCAGGAAAUAGAAUUCUGGGAAAAAUGGUACAAUGUGAUUUCUCAUUUUUCACUCUGGCUCUUUUUAACACCACUGAAAGCCACUGUGUGCUGCUCUCAGGCUGCAAACAGCUCUCUCCUGCUAACAGUGGCUUGAGCAGAGUCACAGGCAUUCCAGUCAGGAACAGCGGUGCUGCAGCUCCACUGCAGGCUCCUCACCGAGGGACAGGUGAAGCCAAGAGCUGGUUACAUAAAGGGAGAACGGUGCCAAGGCCCCUCAGCUGUGACACAAAGCAAGUCAAGCACAGGCUGGCCCUACACCAGCCCCCUGGGAGCCCUCCUGCCCCUGCAGCCUCAGCUGUCCACCCUUAAGGUAGCCUGGGACAGAAUUAAGAGCUCGGCCCCUGGGAACAAAAGCAGAGCCACUGCUUCCAAGUGGUCAGCAUAACACACCUGGACAGAACAAGCAGAACGACCACCAACCGAAGCCCCAAGAAGCAGGCAGGGACACCCAAGCCUGCCCAUUAUCCCUCUGUGCACAGACUGAUGUAUUUGGAGGAGCAAGCUCUGUGCCUGCUGAACGCCGGGGGGCCAAAGUGGCACCUCAGGGAAAAGGGGGCUGUUCCAGACAACUACUGGCAGGAAUCAACAGAGAAUGGGUAUUCCACGUCUUGGAGCAAAGCAUUGCCCAACAAGCUGUGAGAAACAUAGACUGGAAAGCAGGGUUGGGAAUGUAUAAAACAGACAAACAAACAUAAUUUUCUGUGCCAUCCUGUGUCAUGUGAUCGAAUGGAUAUUGAAUAUAAAAAGCAGAUAGAAGCCAGGAGGUAGCUUAUCCUGCACACUGCAUCAGAAGAAUGACACUCGAAAAAUGUAUACAAUCAGACAUCUACAUUUUAGAGUCAGAGCAGAAAAAGUAGACCAAAAAAAAGAUUUGUGGCAGAAAAUGCCUACCAGCGAGUGACUUAAAGAGCUCAAUCCAUUUAGUUUACCACAAAAAGAAUGUAGAGAUGCUUUUGACCACGGUGGAUAAAAAUACCUUCAUGAGGGAAGAAAUUCCUUAAAGAGCUCUUUUAUCCAACGAAGAAGGCAGAACCAGAUACAAGGACUGGAAGCUGAAGACAGAUUCAAAUCAGAAAGAAGAAUCACAUUUUUACCCUGUGAUUCCAUUACCUAUCAGAAACGGCAGAUCUCCACAAUCUGAAGGCCUCAAGGAUGCAUGCCUUUCUGCAUAACCACAGCACUAGUGCAGUGGAGUGGGUGUGAUGCACAAGGUGAUGAACAGCACUGUCUGCCCUCACCUCUGCACAGCCCUGGGGACACAGGCACUGCCUGCAUGUCUGUCUCUGUGUGUGUGUGGCUGGCUGUUAAAAAGGGGAUCUCCAACCUAUUACUGGGAUCAAAAAUAUUACUCCCUUUCCAUACACUAGAUCACAGUAAAACAUAAUCUCUACCCAGUGUUUUCAGAGCAGCCUGAAAGCACAUUCCUAUACUCCCUCAGAAAUAUUUCUAUUGAAUUCCUUGUAAGGUUGUGACUUAUUGUGUCUCACACGGAUCUUAAUCCUCUCUCUAAAUCAGACUGCCCACAGCAAAGCCACCUUUCUCAGAAUGGUACCAUCUGACAGACUAAGGAAAUUACAAAUCCAUUAAUUUCAGACUUCUGAGGGUGUUUUUUGCCUCAGAAAAACAGUGUACAGGAUGAAGGGAUGGAAUAGCUGGUUCACAAUUCCAGCUCCAGCAGCAGCCUCAGCAGAGCAGACUGCUUCACCUAUUUCCUCUGUCACCCAGCCUCAGGGAGGGGCUGCAAACCUCUCCUCUCCCCCCAGGCCCCUGGUUGCCAUGGUCUUUCAUACAGCAUCUGAGCAAACAAAAUCCCUGUGAUGUUUGACACCAGACCUCUGCAUGCAGCUGAUUUGUUUUCCUUUCACCUCUCUUCACCUGGAAGUCGCCUCCCUGUGUUUUCCAUGCAGUUUAUUCUGCCCACAGAACAAACAGCAUCUGUCAGACUUUGGUGUAUUUUUGUUUUCUUCUAGGAAUUUUCCAAUAUCUUCAUUUUUGGUGGUGAUGUAGGUAACAAAGGUCUCUAAAAGGGGCAACUGUUUUUCUAAAACUGUUUAAGAGCUAAAGGCCAGCAGAAGUUCUUCUCAAAGCCUGUGAGGAGAAAGGGCUUUGCUGGCACCUCCCCACACACCCACUUCUGCUCCAGCCCACGGGUUUCACUCUACAAACCCUGAGCAUGACUGAUGGAAUUCAGGAAUGACAGAUUCAGGAAUGUUGCAUUUCAACUGAAUGCCACUAAACUUCAACCAGCUUAAUAAAACCCGGCUGAUUUCCUCUUGUACAAAUAAUAGCUCUGGUGAUCUCUCUCUUCUCUCAAGACAGAAACCUUUGCAGGGGAAAUCACUCCUACUUUCAGUUUUGUUUACCCCCAGUUUCACCAGCAUGCCAUAAGACCAUGGUAUGGAGCGUAAGGGUAUAAUGGGUGGGUUUGUGCACUGAGAAGUAUUAAUUUAUCUCAAAUAACUAUUUUCCUUGCAAUUGCAAUUUUAAUUGGUAUUAUUAUUUUUGGGAGAAAAAAAAAUUCAAACCAAAAUACCUUCUUUACAUACAUACCAUAAAAAAAAAAGAGCACUGGCCUCCAGGCAAGGCUGGUGGCAGAGAAAGAGGGUGAGGAUUUGAAAAAAUACUGAUGUGCCCAACCUUAUAUUUUAGGCACAUUGUGAAGGCUGUAAUUACUCCACUCAAAGACUGCUGCAUGAAGCUUCCACAGUGUGUCUUACCACACAGAAAGCAAGAGGGAACCUUCAGGGGGCAAAAGGCAGGAGAAGGGAGUUGAAAACCUGGCCCAUGCCAAAGCUUUUCCAUGCCACAUCCCUGCUGCCUUCUCCCACAGCCGAGGGCUUCCAAGGAUACAAAUCAGCCCCUCCAGAGGAGCUGUGACUUGCCAUUUCAGUGCCAGCUUGGCACUGAAAGUAGAUUUCCUGGGACUUUGGAAACUGGUCCUGGAGAAAAACAAAGUGAGAGCUGAGCUCAUGGAAGCCACUGGACCCUGAAGCUGGUGCCUGAUAGAAAUUUUUCUGCUGCAGGUUUUAGCUUUAAUCAAUGCCUCCUUCAAGCCCAUCCUGGAACAGGAGGGAGGAAAGCUAAUGUGAAGCAUAAGGAUAAUCACAGCUAGAGAGCUCCUGAAAGAGGGAGAGAAGAAAAAUAGAAGAUGAAAGCAGGCAAAUGGUUAAAACAAACACUCACACAGGGGGCCAAUGAAAAGGGGGAAAAGAGGGAAAAUAGCACAAUAAAAAUAAAUGAUGUAAGAGAAAGAAAAGCUUCUAAGCACACAGAGGGAAAAAUAUGGGGCUUGGAAAAAGCAAAAGUGUAAGAAAAAGAUGCUGUAAUGGAGCUCUCUAGAAGUUAACAUUCUACAUUAUCAGGCAGCCCCUUUCCUUUGAAUGGCCCAAGCCUGUACCACAUUAUCACCUUGGACCCCAUGGACCCCACUGGUUGUUGAGGUAUUUUGAAGAGCCUGGCUCUAGCUCAUGCCUAGCAGAAGCUGCCUGAAGUCUCCUGUAGAUGACUGCAAAGAUUUUUUUCUUUUUACUCUAGCUGGAAUUGUUUCAAACUUCCUCUUGGUUGUUUUGUUUGAGCAUAAACAAAAGGUAUUUUUUCACACUUAAA